rnacentral:SRP_RNA from 16 species
CCCAGCACCUCCUCACGCUUGAACUCCGUCAGGUCCAGGAACGCA